rnacentral:rRNA from 1 species
CCUACGGGGGGCAGCAGUGAGGAAUAUUGCACAAUGGGCGAAAGCCUGAUGCAGCAACGCCGCGUGAGGGACGAAGGCCUUCGGGUUGUAAACCUCUUUUCUGAGGGACGAGACAAGGACGGUACCUCGGGAAUAAGUCUCGGCUAACUACGUGCCAGCAGCCGCGGUAAGACGUAGGAGGCGAGCGUUAUCCGGAUUUACUGGGCGUAAAGCGCACGCAGGCGGCUUCGUUAGUCGGAUGUGAAAGCUCCUGGCUUAACUGGGAGAGGCCAUUCGAUACUGCGAGGCUUGAGGUUGGAAGAGGGGUGUGGAAUUCCCGGUGUAGUGGUGGAAUGCGUAGAUAUCGGGAGGAACACCUGUGGCGAAAGCGGCACCCUGGUCCACACCUGACGCUGAGGUGCGAAAGCGUGGGUAGCAAACAGGAUUAGAUACCCCAGUAGUC